UUGAAAUGGAAAAAGUGCAAG
rnacentral:piRNA from 1 species